rnacentral:rRNA from 1 species
CUACGGGAUGCUGCAGUAACGAAUCUUCCGCAAUGCGCGAAAGCGUGACGGGGUAAUGCCGCGUGCAGGAUGAAGCCCCUCGGGGUGUAAACUGCUGUCAGGGUCUACCAACACAAUGAGGAGACCCAAAGGAAGGGCCGGCUAACUCUGUGCCAGCAGCCGCGGUAAUACAGAGGGCCCGAGCGUUAAUCGGAAUCACUGGGCUUAAAGGGUGCGUAGGCGGACCCAAAGGCAUGUUGUGAAAUCCCUUGGCUCAACCAAGGAACUGCAGCGUGAACCAUGGGUCUUGAGGCAGGUAGGGGCGGUCGGAACGAUAGGUGGAGCGGUGAAAUGCGUAGAUAUCUAUCGGAACGCCAUACGAGAAGUCAGGCCGCUGGGCCUGUCCUGACGCUGAGGCACGAAAGCGUGGGUAGCAAACGGGAUUAGAUACCCUGGUAGUC